CAGAGCCCAGCACAUGGCCAUUCAUCCAAAGCAACCUCUUACACUUGGUUGAUUGGUGAGUUGGAGGCUCCACUGGCCCCUGUCAGACUUGAGACCUCACACCUGCCCACCACAGCCAGUUUCCCACACAGCCUGGGACUGACUGGGUGAUGGAGAAGGAUCCUUACCAUGGAAUCUUAUCCAGGUCCAGCCCCAGGGUUGCAAAGAUUGAUGCCUGGAAGCUGGGACUCCAGCCCAAGCUGGGGGAGGAUCCUUUCCCCUCUGGGCUCCUGUGUUUCCACCUAAGGCCCAGUUCACCCAUGAGCCAGGCAUCUGCUGGCAGAUGAGAACAAGACAUGGUCUCAGGAAGUCUGCAGGCAGACCCCCGGCCUUCCAGGAUGAGACCUGAGGCCAUGCCGCAUUCCUGGCCUGGCCAUGUCUGUUCAUAGAAUUGCCUCCACGUUGGCCAGCCCCACGCCUCCAGACUCUAUGUCUACACAGCUCACCUUGGUAAUCUCGGGGCCAGAGGACAGAAGCAGCUUAUGUUGGGAAGGGGCAUCUGAGAAGGAGGAGCAGGUCUGUUUGUCAAGAAUCCAAGCACGCCUGUGCUCUGUGGCCACAGGGAGAGGAGGGGCCGCUUUUAAAUACAAGCCUACUCCUGUCGUUGGACCACAACAAAGACCCACUGGACAGAAGCACAUGAGAGACUAGAGCGCAAUGGUUCGAUCUUGGCUCACUGCAACUUCCACCUCCCGAGUUCAAGCGAUUCUCCUGACAGAAGUCCACUCAAGCCAGCCAUUGUAGCUAGCAUCGGGGCUCCAGCC
rnacentral:antisense_RNA from 1 species